GCCCAGGGCCAACAAAGGAAUCACUAUCUUUGGCAGCUAUAGUCUUACAAAAUGUAUUUAUUAACUAAUAAGACUUGAAAGUUGAAAUUACUCCUUGAUCCAUG